GACGAACGCUGGCGGCGUGCUUAACACAUGCAAGUCGAACGGAAAGGCCCUGCUUUUGUGGGGUGCUCGAGUGGCGAACGGGUGAGUAACACGUGAGUAACCUGCCCUUGACUUUGGGAUAACUUCAGGAAACUGGGGCUAAUACCGGAUAGGAGCUCCUGCUGCAUGGUGGGGGUUGGAAAGUUUCGGCGGUUGGGGAUGGACUCGCGGCUUAUCAGCUUGUUGGUGGGGUAGUGGCUUACCAAGGCUUUGACGGGUAGCCGGCCUGAGAGGGUGACCGGCCACAUGGGGACUGGGAUACGGCCCAGAUUCCUCCGGGAGGCAGCGGUGGGGAAUAUGGCACAAGGGGCGGAGGCUGGAUGCAGCAACGCCGCGUGCGGGAGGACGGCCUUCGGGUUGUAAACCGCUUUCGCCCGUGACGAAGCGUGAGUGCCGGUAAUGGGUAAAGAAGCACCGGCUAACUACGU
rnacentral:rRNA from 1 species